rnacentral:lncRNA from 1 species
UCUUAUGCUUUUAAAUAAAUAAAUCAGUUUUGAGCAUGUUCAUGCAUCACGGAUGCCAUGUGAUAUUUUAGGUUGCUUGCAUUAGAAAUCACGAAUAUGUUGCAUUGCAUAAAAUGUUGUUGAUGUGGAUGAAUGUUGAAUGAUCCAUUAGCCCUCAUAUGUUAUGACAUGAUGAUAUGAUAUGGAAGUCCAGGUGUGGCCUGCACUACGCCCCCGGCAUCAUGGAUUAUGUAUGUUAUGUUAUGUUAUGUUAUGUAUAAGAGAAAGACCAGGUGUGGCCUGCACUACGCCCCUGGCAUGAUUGGAUUAUGUAGAGGGCUAAAUGGUGACAAGUUCAUCCUUGAUAUGAUUAGUUGUGAUGUGAUGC